rnacentral:rRNA from 1 species
GAAUUCGAUUCAGGCCUAACACAUGCAAGUCGAGCGGCAGCGGGAAAGUAGCUUGCUACUUUUGCCGGCGAGCGGCGGACGGGUGAGUAAUGCCUGGGGAUCUGCCCAGUCGAGGGGGAUAACUACUGGAAACGGUAGCUAAUACCGCAUACGCCGUACGGGGGAAAGCAGGGGACCUUCGGGCCUUGCGCGAUUGGAUGAACCCAGGUGGGAUUAGCUAGUUGGUGAGGUAAUGGCUCACCAAGGCGACGAUCCCUAGCUGGUCUGAGAGGAUGAUCAGCCACACUGGAACUGAGACACGGUCCAGACUCCUACGGGAGGCAGCAGUGGGGAAUAUUGCACAAUGGGGGAAACCCUGAUGCAGCCAUGCCGCGUGUGUGAAGAAGACCUUCGGGUUGUAAAGCAAUGGGCAGCGAGGAGGAAAGGUUGGUAGCUAAUAACUGCCAGCUGUGACGUACUCGCAGAAGAG